AUUGAACGCUGGCGGCAGGCCUAACACAUGCAAGUCGAGCGAGCGGCGGACGGGUGAGUAAUGUCUGGGAAACUGCCUGAUGGAGGGGGAUAACUACUGGAAACGGUAGCUAAUACCGCAUACCAUCAGCUGAGCCCAGAUGGGAUUAGCUGGUAGGUGGGGUAACGGCUCACCUAGGCGACGAUCCCUAGCUGGUCUGAGAGGAUAACCAGCCACACUGGAACGGGUACACGGUCCAGACUCCUACGGGAGGCCGCAGUGGGGAAUAUUGCACAAUGGGCGCAAGCCGUAUGCAGCCAUGCCGCGUGUGUGAGGAAGGCCUUCGGGUUGUAAAGCACUUUCAGCGGGGAGGCGUUACCCGCAGAAGAAGCACCGGCUAACUCCGUGCCAGCAGCCGCGGUAAUAC
rnacentral:rRNA from 1 species